AUUGAACGCUGGCGGCAUGCCUUACACAUGCAAGUCGAACGGCAGCACGGGUGCUUGCACCUGGUGGCGAGUGGCGAACGGGUGAGUAAUACAUCGGAACAUGUCCUGUAGUGGGGGAUAGCCCGGCGAAAGCCGGAUUAAUACCGCAUACGAUCUACGGAUGAAAGCGGGGGACCUUCGGGCCUCGCGCUAUAGGGUUGGCCGAUGGCUGAUUAGCUAGUUGGUGGGGUAAAGGCCUACCAAGGCGACGAUCAGUAGCUGGUCUGAGAGGGCGACCAGCCACACUGGGACUGAGAAACGGCCCAGACUCCUACGGGAGGCAGCAGUGGGGAAUUUUGGACAAUGGGCGAAAGCCUGAUCCAGCAAUGCCGCGUGUGUGAAGAAGGCCUUCGGGUUGUAAAGAACUUUUGUCCGGAAAGAAAUCCUUGGCCCUAAUACGGUCGGGGGAUGACGGUACCGGAAGAAUAAGCACCGGCUAACUACGUG
rnacentral:rRNA from 1 species